rnacentral:rRNA from 1 species
UUGAACGCUGGCGGCAUGCUUUACACAUGCAAGUCGAACGGCAGCACGGGGGCAACCCUGGUGGCGAGUGGCGAACGGGUGAGUAACAUAUCGGAACAUAUCCGGAAGUGGGGGAUAACGUACCGAAAGGUACGCUAAUACCGCAUAUGCCCUGAGGGGGAAAGGAGGGGAUCGCAAGACCUUUCGCUUUCGGAGUGGCCGAUAUCGGAUUAGCUAGAUGGUGAGGUAAAGGCUCACCAUGGCGACGAUCCGUAGCUGGUCUGAGAGGACGACCAGCCACACUGGGACUGAGACACGGCCCAGACUCCUACGGGAGGCAGCAGUGGGGAAUUUUGGACAAUGGGGGCAACCCUGAUCCAGCCAUGCCGCGUGAGUGAAGAAGGCCUUCGGGUUGUAAAGCUCUUUCAGACGGAAAGAAAUCGGGCGCGUGAAGAGCGUGCCUGGAUGACGGUACUGUCAGAAGAAGCACCGGCUAACUACGU